CUCCAGACUCCUACGGGAGGCAGCAGUGGGGAAUAUUGCACAAUGGGGGAAACCCUGAUGCAGCGACGCCGCGUGAAGGAUGAAGUAUUUCGGUAUGUAAACUUCUAUCAGCAGGGAAGAAAAUGACGGUACCUGACUAAGAAGCCCCGGCUAACUACGUGCCAGCAGCCGCGGUAAUACGUAGGGGGCAAGCGUUAUCCGGAUUUACUGGGUGUAAAGGGAGCGUAGACGGCAUGGCAAGUCUGAUGUGAAAACCCGGGGCUCAACCCCGGGACUGCAUUGGAAACUGUCAGGCUAGAGUGUCGGAGAGGCAAGUGGAAUUCCUAGUGUAGCGGUGAAAUGCGUAGAUAUUAGGAGGAACACCAGUGGCGAAGGCGACUUUCUGGACUGUACCUGACGCUGAGGCGCGAAAGCGUGGGUAGCGAACGGGAUUAGAUACCCUGGUA
rnacentral:rRNA from 1 species